rnacentral:rRNA from 1 species
GAUGAACGCUGGCGGCGUGCCUAAUACAUGCAAGUCGAGCGAACAGACGAGGAGCUUGCUCCUCUGACGUUAGCGGCGGACGGGUGAGUAACACGUGGAUAACCUACCUAUAAGACUGGGAUAACUUCGGGAAACCGGAGCUAAUACCGGAUAAUAUAUUGAACCGCAUGGUUCAAUAGUGAAAGACGGUUUUGCUGUCACUUAUAGAUGGAUCCGCGCCGCAUUAGCUAGUUGGUAAGGUAACGGCUUACAAAGGCAACGAUGCGUAGCCGACCUGAGAGGGUGAUCGGCCACCCUGGAACUGAGACACGGUCCAGACUCCUACGGGAGGCAGCAGUAGGGAAUCUUCCGCAAUGGGCGAAAGCCUGACGGAGCAACGCCGCGUGAGUGAUGAAGGUCUUCGGAUCGUAAAACUCUGUUAUUAGGGAAGAACAAAUGUGUAAGUAACUAUGCACGUCUUGACGGUACCUAAUCAGAAAGCCACGGCUAACUACGUG